UCCAGACUCCUACGGGAGGCAGCAGUGGGGGAUAUUGCACAAUGGGGGAAACCCUGAUGCAGCGACGCCGCGUGAGUGAAGAAGUCUUUCGGUAUGUAAAGCUCUCUCAGCAGGGAAGAAGAUGGCAGUACCUGAGUAAGAAGCCCCGGCUACCUACGUGCCAGCAGCCGCGGUAAUACGUAGGGGGCAAGCGUUAUCCGGAUUUACUGGGUGUAAAGGGAGCGUAGACGGUUAUGUAAGUCUGGAGUGAAAGCCCGGGGCCCAACCCCGGGACUGCUUUGGAAACUGUGUAACUAGAGUACAGGAGGGGCAGGCGGAAUUCCUGGUGUAGCGGUGAAAUGCGUAGAUAUCAGGAGGAACACCGGCGGCGAAGGCGGCCUGCUGGACUGAAACUGACGUUGAGGCUCGAAAGCGCGGGGAGCAAACAGGAUUAGAUACCCUUGUAUG
rnacentral:rRNA from 1 species